rnacentral:rRNA from 1 species
AGUGAACGCUGGCGGUAGGCCUAACACAUGCAAGUCGAACGGCAGCACAGUAAGAGCUUGCUCUUACGGGUGGCGAGUGGCGGACGGGUGAGGAAUACAUCGGAAUCUACUUUUUCGUGGGGGAUAACGUAGGGAAACUUACGCUAAUACCGCAUACGACCUACGGGUGAAAGCAGGGGAUCUUCGGACCUUGCGCGAUUGAAUGAGCCGAUGUCGGAUUAGCUAGUUGGCGGGGUAAAGGCCCACCAAGGCGACGAUCCGUAGCUGGUCUGAGAGGAUGAUCAGCCACACUGGAACUGAGACGCGGUCCAGACUCCUACGGGAGGCAGCAGUGGGGAAUAUUGGACAAUGGGCGCAAGCCUGAUCCAGCCAUACCGCGUGGGUGAAGAAGGCCUUCGGGUUGUAAAGCCCUUUUGUUGGGAAAGAAAAGCAGCAGGUUAAUACCCAGCUGUUCUGACGGUACCCAAAGAAUAAGCACCGGCUAACUUCGUG